AAAUUGAAGAGUUUGAUCAUGGCUCAGAUUGAACGCUGGCGGCAGGCCUAACACAUGCAAGUCGAACGGUAACAGGAAGAAGCUUGCUUCUUUGCUGACGAGUGGCGGACGGGUGAGUAAUGUCUGGGAAACUGCCUGAUGGAGGGGGAUAACUACUGGAAACGGUAGCUAAUACCGCAUAACGUCGCAAGACCAAAGAGGGGGACCUUCGGGCCUCUUGCCAUCGGAUGUGCCCAGAUGGGAUUAGCUAGUAGGUGGGGUAACGGCUCACCUAGGCGACGAUCCCUAGCUGGUCUGAGAGGAUGACCAGCCACACUGGAACUGAGACACGGUCCAGACUCCUACGGGAGGCAGCAGUGGGGAAUAUUGCACAAUGGGCGCAAGCCUGAUGCAGCCAUGCCGCGUGUAUGAAGAAGGCCUUCGGGUUGUAAAGUACUUUCAGCGGGGAGGAAGGGAGUAAAGUUAAUACCUUUGCUCAUUGACGUUACCCGCAGAAGAAGCACCGGCUAACUCCGUGCCAGCAGCCGCGGUAAUACGGAGGGUGCAAGCGUUAAUCGGAAUUACUGGGCGUAAAGCGCACGCAGGCGGUUUGUUAAGUCAGAUGUGAAAUCCCCGGACCAACCUGGGAACUGCAUCUGAUACUGGCAAGCUUGAGUCUCGUAGAGGGGGGUAGAAUUCCAGGUGUAGCGGUGAAAUGCGUAGAGAUCUGGAGGAAUACCGGUGGCGAAGGCGGCCCCCUGGACGAAGACUGACGCUCAGGUGCGAAAGCGUGGGGAGCAAACAGGAUUAGAUACCCUGGUAGUCCACGCCGUAAACGAUGUCGACUUGGAGGUUGUGCCCUUGAGGCGUGGCUUCCGGAGCUAACGCGUUAAGUCGACCGCCUGGGGAGUACGGCCGCAAGGUUAAAACUCAAAUGAAUUGACGGGGUAUCCGCACAAGCGGUGGAGCAUGUGGUUUAAUUCGAUGCAACGCGAAGAACCUUACCUGGUCUUGACAUCCACGGAAGUUUUCAGAGAUGAGAAUGUGCCUUCGGGAACCGUGAGACAGGUGCUGCAUGGCUGUCGUCAGCUCGUGUUGUGAAAUGUUGGGUUAAGUCCCGCAACGAGCGCAACCCUUAUCCUUUGUUGCCAGCGGUCCGGCCGGGAACUCAAAGGAGACUGCCAGUGAUAAACUGGAGGAAGGUGGGGAUGACGUCAAGUCAUCAUGGCCCUUACGACCAGGGCUACACACGUGCUACAAUGGCGCAUACAAAGAGAAGCGACCUCGCGAGAGCAAGCGGACCUCAUAAAGUGCGUCGUAGUCCGGAUUGGAGUCUGCAACUCGACUCCAUGAAGUCGGAAUCGCUAGUAAUCGUGGAUCAGAAUGCCACGGUGAAUACGUUCCCGGGCCUUGUACACACCGCCCGUCACACCAUGGGAGUGGGUUGCAAAAGAAGUAGGUAGCUUAACCUUCGGGAGGGCGCUUACCACUUUGUGAUUCAUGACUGGGGUGAAGUCGUAACAAGGUAACCGUAGGGGAACCUGCGGUUGGAUCACCUCCUUA
rnacentral:rRNA from 1 species